CCAGGCGUAAUAGCUCACUGGUCGAGUCGGCCUGCGCGGAAGAUGUAACGGGGCUAAACCAUGCACCGAAGCUGCGGCAGCGACACUGUGUGUUGUUGGGUAGGGGAGCGUUCUGUAAGCCUGUGAAGGUGUCUGUGAGGAUGCUGGAGGUAUCAGAAGUGCGAAUGCUGACAUAAGUAACGAUAAAGCGGGUGAAAAGCCCGCUCGCCGGAAGACCAAGGGUUCCUGUCCAACGUUAAUCGGGGCAGGGUGAGUCGACCCCUAAGGCGAGGCCGAAAGGCGUAGUCGAUGGGAAACAGGUUAAUAUUCCUGUACUUGGUGUUACUGCGAAGGGGGGACGGAGAAGGCUAUGUUGGCCGGGCGACGGUUGUCCCGGUUUAAGCGUGUAGGCUGGUUUUCCAGGCAAAUCCGGAAAAUCAAGGCUGAGGCGUGAUGACGAGGCACUACGGUGCUGAAGCAACAAAUGCCCUGCUUCCAGGAAAAGCCUCUAAGCAUCAGGUAACAUCAAAUCGUACCCCAAACCGACACAGGUGGUCAGGUAGAGAAUACCAAGGCGCUUGAGAGAACUCGGGUGAAGGAACUAGGCAAAAUGGUGCCGUAACUUCGGGAGAAGGCACGCUGAUAUGUAGGUGAAGUCCCUCGCGGAUGGAGCUGAAAUCAGUCGAAGAUACCAGCUGGCUGCAACUGUUUAUUAAAAACACAGCACUGUGCAAACACGAAAGUGGACGUAUACGGUGUGACGCCUGCCCGGUGCCGGAAGGUUAAUUGAUGGGGUCAGCGCAAGCGAAGCUCUUGAUCGAAGCCCCGGUAAACGGCGGCCGUAACUAUAACGGUCCUAAGGUAGCGAAAUUCCUUGUCGGGUAAGUUCCGACCUGCACGAAUGGCGUAAUGAUGGCCAGGCUGUCUCCACCCGAGACUCAGUGAAAUUGAACUCGCUGUGAAGAUGCAGUGUACCCGCGGCAAGACGGAAAGACCCCGUGAACCUUUACUAUAGCUUGACACUGAACAUUGAGCCUUGAUGUGUAGGAUAGGUGGGAGGCUUUGAAGUGUGGACGCCAGUCUGCAUGGAGCCGACCUUGAAAUACCACCCUUUAAUGUUUGAUGUUCUAACGUGGACCCGUGAUCCGGGUUGCGGACAGUGUCUGGUGGGUAGUUUGACUGGGGCGGUCUCCUCCUAAAGAGUAACGGAGGAGCACGAAGGUUGGCUAAUCCUGGUCGGACAUCAGGAGGUUAGUGCAAUGGCAUAAGCCAGCUUGACUGCGAGCGUGACGGCGCGAGCAGGUGCGAAAGCAGGUCAUAGUGAUCCGGUGGUUCUGAAUGGAAGGGCCAUCGCUCAACGGAUAAAAGGUACUCCGGGGAUAACAGGCUGAUACCGCCCAAGAGUUCAUAUCGACGGCGGUGUUUGGCACCUCGAUGUCGGCUCAUCACAUCCUGGGGCUGAAGUAGGUCCCAAGGGUAUGGCUGUUCGCCAUUUAAAGUGGUACGCGAGCUGGGUUUAGAACGUCGUGAGACAGUUCGGUCCCUAUCUGCCGUGGGCGCUGGAGAACUGAGGGGGGCUGCUCCUAGUACGAGAGGACCGGAGUGGACGCAUCACUGGUGUUCGGGUUGUCAUGCCAAUGGCACUGCCCGGUAGCUAAAUGCGGAAGAGAUAAGUGCUGAAAGCAUCUAAGCACGAAACUUGCCCCGAGAUGAGUUCUCCCUGACCCUUUAAGGGUCCUGAAGGAACGUUGAAGACGACGACGUUGAUAGGCCGGGUGUGUAAGCGCAGCGAUGCGUUGAGCUAACCGGUACUAAUGAACCGUGAGGCUUAACCU
rnacentral:rRNA from 1 species